AAGACGAGGCUUGAAGAAAAUAGUAACUUCUACAAGUACCAAUGACAAUAAGAAAAAUACUAUAAUAUUGAACUUAGAUCAAUUAUAAGUUUAAUGUACACAAUUGUUUUUUUUCCAAUUUCACUUUAUUUCAAUAUUUUGACAUAAUCAGAAUUGUUUAAAAGUAUUUAAAGAAAGAGAAGAAGAAGAAGAAAAAAAAUGUUAAUAUAGCUAAAUUUAAAUCAAAUUCAAUAGGUAGACAGAUAGAAAUAAGACAAUUACUAAGACACAAUUGUAAUAUUCUAUUUUUACAAGUAUGUAUGUGUACAUUUCUCUAUUAUCUUUUUGAGAAUUAAUGUUUUUCUAAUUUAUCAUGGUUUAUUUUGUGGAUUUGAAUUUAUUAGAAUAUUGUGUACAAUACAAAUGUGU
rnacentral:lncRNA from 1 species